GACGUGAAGUUAAGCUGGUGAGCCCGCUGAACUUAAGCAUAU
rnacentral:rRNA from 1 species